rnacentral:rRNA from 1 species
CACGUAGGCGGAUCAGAAAGUAGGGGGUGAAAUCCCGAGGCUCAACCUCGGAACUGCCUCCUAAACUCCUGGUCUUGAGUUCGAGAGAGGUGAGUGGAAUUCCAAGUGUAGAGGUGAAAUUCGUAGAUAUUUGGAGGAACAUCAGUGGCGAAGGCGGCUCACUGGCUCGAUACUGACGCUGAGGUGCGAAAGUGUGGGGAGCAAACAGGAUUAGAUACCCUGGUAGUCC